UCCAGUCCAUUCCAGGCCGGAAUCGAUCCGGACCUCAAGGGUCCAGGAACGAAGCCGUCCCGACGACUCGAGGGCUCCUGGAGGCUCCUGGCGGCGCGGUGUCCCGGCGGCGCGGCGUCCUGGCGCGCGAGGCGACGGCGGGCGAAGGCAAGGGCGACGGCGCGCGAAGGCGAGGGCUCGGCGGCGCGGUGAGCUUCUCCUCGUCCGCUUUCUCACCGGAAGUGUGCAAUGCUUGAGUUUGUAUGGUGCGCCUUCUCGUCUUUGGCUUCCAAGAAGAAACAUCUUGAGGUUAAUUUUAACGUAUAAAUGAGAGGAUGCGAACAUGUAACAUGUGGUUUAAAUUUUAUUUUUCUCAGUGUAGUUUGGAUUCAAUUUCUGAAUUAGAAGCUUUGCAUGGAUGAGUGGAAACACUUUGAUGCUCAUUUGGUGUCAGGACCGAACAUUUGUUAGCCAUGAUUGGUCCCCUUUGUACAGCUAAAUUCAAUUGUUUUGUUUGGUUUUUCUUCUGCUAUUUGUUCUGGGAAUCAUGCAUAUUUUACAGGUUAAAAUUUAUGUGUGGCUGAA